UGAGCCAAGUUUUGGGUUUCUUAAAAACCCAAGCAGUAUUGAACUGAAGAGUUUGAUCAUGGCUCAGAUUGAACGCUGGCGGCAGGCCUAACACAUGCAAGUCGAGCGGAUGACGGGAGCUUGCUCCUUGAUUCAGCGGC
rnacentral:rRNA from 1 species